rnacentral:rRNA from 1 species
CCCUUAGAUGUCCUGGGCCGCACGCGCGCUACACUGAACGGAUCAGCGCGUUUUCCCUUCCCGAGAGGGACGGGUAACCUGCUGAACCCCGUUCGUGGUAGGGAUCGGGGCUUGCAAUUAUUCCCCGUGAACCAGGAAUGCCCAGUAAGUGCAAGUCAUAAGCUUGCGUUGAUUACGUCCCUGCCCUUUGUACACACCGCCCGUCGCUCCUACCGAUUGAAUGGUCCGGUGAAGCGUUCGGACCGUGGCCUUUGGACGGUUCGCCGUCUGUUGGCUGCGGGAAGUUCGUUAAACCUUAUCAUUUAGAGGAAGGAGAAGUCGUANCA